GUGGGGAAUCUUCGGCAAUGGGCGCAAGCCUGACCGAGCCAUGCCGCGUGAGCGAUGAAGGCCUUAGGGUUGUAAAGCUCUUUCGCCAGGGAUGAUAAUGACAGUACCUGGUAAAGAAACCCCGGCUAACUCCGUGCCAGCAGCCGCGGUAAUACGGAGGGGGUUAGCGUUGUUCGGAAUUACUGGGCGUAAAGCGCGCGUAGGCGGAUUGGAAAGUUGGGGGUGAAAUCCCGGGGCUCAACCUCGGAACUGCCUCCAAAACUCCCAGUCUCGAGUUCGAGAGAGGUGAGUGGAACUCCGAGUGUAGAGGUGAAAUUCGUAGAUAUUCGGAAGAACACCAGUGGCGAAGGCGGCUCACUGGCUCGAUACUGACGCUGAGGUGCGAAAGUGUGGGGAGCAAACAGG
rnacentral:rRNA from 1 species